ensembl:lncRNA
CCUGCUUCUGUCACACCAAGUUUGUACAGAUUAAUGAUAUUAGGCCCGAGUCGCAGGCAGCGGUCUUAAAGGCACAGCAACCCGUGCAAACAAACAAUGCCAGCAGAGAGGGAGGGAGGGACAGAUGAAAGGAGGUAGGGAGAAAUGGCAUACUACUUGCCAGUCACUGGGCUGUAAGCAGAUGGCAUGAUGGAGGAGAGAAAGAGAGAGAGAAAGAAAGAAGGGAAGAGAGAGCGGCUGAAACCAUCGGAUGGACUGAUGUUGGAGAAGGGAGGAGGGGAGAAGGGAAAACAGCCGACAGAUGACUGUUCAAUUAAAAAGGGCACUUCAGGGUGGAGAGAGGCAAAAGAAAAGGGAACGAGAGAGAGCAAAACAGAGAGAGGGAGGAGGGACGAGGGAGAACGAGAAGGGAAGACACUUGAGGAUUGUGUGGAACAGAUUACUGGAAGCGUGUGGACAAAACACACUACGCCGUCGUAUCCAGAGAUUUUCACACUAUCACGACUCGCGGGCAAUCGUACAAACACACACGACACGUACACGCGCAUAUGCGACGGCUCGGAUAAGGUGUUCGCGGCUGCACUGUUUGUGUUUUCAUCCAUCUGUGUGCCUGGUGGUGACAUAUCAGCCAAGUGCCUCAAUCAAUGACACACUCUGGGGGUACUGAGAGCCCGCCCCGUCAGCUUUUUAACCCCUUGCAAGUAACAGAUCCGCUUUCAAACUCCCAGUGGUACUAAUGCCAGCCACCAUCAGCACCACCACAAAAUCUGCUCUGGGGCAGGAGGUGAAACAGAGCCCACACCUCCCCAGUCCCCAACAAAUCUCUGUGAGAAGAUCUCCACGUAUCCAUUACGUACCCUGCUGCGACUGGGGGAGACCGUGGCAAUGAGGUCGCUCAUUUAGCACUAACUUUGGAAGCCAAGGUCAACUACUGUAUUACCUAGACAAGGCAAUGUCCAAAUGAGUGUGUUAGCAAAUGCGAUCUGGCACAUUUAGUUGUGGUGACACAAGUUUGAG